GAUGAAGAACGCAGCAAAAUGCGAUAAGUAAUGUGAAUUGCAGAAUUCAGUGAAUCAUCGAAUCUUUGAACGCACAUUGCGCCCGCUGGUAUUCCGGCGGGCAUGCCUGUUCGAGCGUCAUUUCAACCCUCACACCCCCGGGUUUGGUGUUGGGGAUCGGCUCUGCCUCACGGCGGUGCCGCCCCCGAAAUACAUUGGCGGUCUCGCUGCAGCCUCCAUUGCGUAGUAGCUAACACCUCGCAACUGGAACGCGGCGCGGCCAUGCCGUAAAACCCCAACUUCUGAAUGUUGACCUCGGAUCAGGUAGGAAUACCCGCUGAACUUAAGCAUAUCAAUAAGCGGAGGA
rnacentral:misc_RNA from 1 species